UACGGAGGGGGCUAGCGUUGUUCGGAAUUACUGGGCGUAAAGCGCACGUAGGCGGCUUUGUAAGUUAGAGGUGAAAGCCCAGGGCUUAACCCUGGAAUUGCCUUUAAGACUGCAUCGCUAGAAUCGUGGAGAGGUGAGUGGAAUUCCGAGUGUAGAGGUGAAAUUCGUAGAUAUUCGGAAGAACACCAGUGGCGAAGGCGACUCACUGGACACGAUUGACGCUGAGGUGCGAAAGCGUGGGGAGCAAACAGGG
rnacentral:rRNA from 1 species